rnacentral:rRNA from 1 species
AGCGAACGCUGGCGGCAGGCUUAACACAUGCAAGUCGAGCGGAUGUAGCAAUACAUCAGCGGCAGACGGGAGAGUAACGCGUGGGAACGUGCCCUUUGGUUCGGAAUAACUCAGGGAAACUUGAGCUAAUACCGGAUAAGCCCUUACGGGGAAAGAUUUAUUGCCAAAGGAGCGGCCCGCGUCUGAUUAGCUAGUUGGUGAGGUAACGGCUCACCAAGGCGACGAUCAGUAGCUGGUCUGAGAGGAUGAUCAGCCUCACUGGGACUGAGACACGGCCCAGACUCCUACGGGAGGCAGCAGUGGGGAAUAUUGGACAAUGGGCGCAAGCCUGAUCCAGCCAUGCCGCGUGGAUGAUGAAGGCCUUAGGGUUGUAAAGUCCUUUCGUUGGGGAAGAUAAUGACGGUACCCAAAGAAGAAGCCCCGGCUAACUUCGUGCCAGCAGCCGCGGUAAUACGAAGGGGGCUAGCGUUGCUCGGAAUUACUGGGCGUAAAGCGCACGUAGGCGGACUCUUAAGUCGGGGGUGAAAUCCUGGAGCUCAACUCCAGAACUGCCUUCGAUACUGAGAGCCUUGAGUUCGGGAGAGGUGAGUGGAACUGCGAGUGUAGAGGUGAAAUUCGUAGAUAUUCGCAAGAACACCAGUGGCGAAGGCGGCUCACUGGCCCGAUACUGACGCUGAGGUGCGAAAGCGUGGGGAGCAAACA